GGAGCCCUGGCCGGUUUAGACAUCGCCCGGUAAGAUAAAAAGCGUACCUGCUCGGUCGAGCCGAACAGUCCACCUUUCACCUCACCCACGAAACCCCAAGGCGCCGUCCCGCCGUCGCCGUCGCCGACGCCUCGAUCCGUCGCCUCCUGCCCCCGUCCACCUCUCACGCGCGCCGGCCCCGUCGGAAUAGCCUUUCCCUUUGGUUUCGAGGUGCUUUGUUAUUGUAGGAUUUAUUAGGAUGCCUCGAGUUGGAGACCCGGAUGCAUCUUCUAUCUUGAGAGUGACCUAUGAGUUGGGAUACCUUGCUUCGAUCAUCGCAGGAUGUUGGGUUGAUGGGAACAUAUAUAAACAUGGCCUUGGUUGUGUGUCAGCCUUCAGGAAAUGGAGCGCACACGUUAAAGCUAUAGGGGGGCCUUUCAUGUUAGUCAACUCUGUGUUGUUGAUUCUUGACAAAACCAACUCACCAUAUGCACGACCUUUUAGCUUUUUAUAGAACCGCACUUAUUGGACAUGACACUUCGCAUAAGAGAAAAGUGGUCUUUGCUCAUCAUAUAGAGUAGGCAUAUCUAUAUUAUUUGCCUCUCCUUGUAUAAUUUGCCCUUCUCUACGAUCUUUGUCUUUUCAUGAUUUCUCUUCUCUAUAGAUGGAGAAAUUUGGGAAAGAAAAGGUAAUGAAAAGGAGCGCAUGAUGCCUACAGAGAGAUAAAUAAUAGUGGCGUGUUAGGGCAGUUACUAUAAUAAUAAGAUGCAUUUCCGUCCCCCUUAGUUUUCCCUGAAUAAUAAUUAAAAAAUAUAUGGCUAUUGAUGGGCAGAUGAUCAGUUUUCUCUUCACAGGACCAAGGCACUCUUGGAGACCUGUGGUUUUGUGUAAUGUCAUGUCGAAGAAAGUGUGCUUUUGCUAGAUGCAUGCACUUUAAAGUGCGGUUUUUAUGAAACUUUAUGUCAAAUAUAGUGUGGAAAGGAUAGUUUGUUCUUUUUAAUGAAAUGUGGCUGUGAGAAAUUGACUUGUGAUGUAAUACUCUGUUUUUGUAUGGUUGCCAAAUAUUGGAUAUUCGUCCAUGAAGUA